rnacentral:lncRNA from 1 species
UUGGAUUUUCAUAAGUAUAUUUUAAUUUUUUGAAUUUUAACAACUCAAAUGAAAUUCAGCUAGUUAACAUAAAUACAGAGUAAAUGCACAUAAUUUACAGCCACAUAACAGGAAUGCAAUAGCAAACCUCACAUAAAUGGUCAAAGAAUAUCAACUCUUUGAAGUUGUUUAGCUACAACUGACAGGUCAUAAUUUAAAUGUUCACAUAUGCAGGGGUACACAUUCAAAAUGUUUAUUAACACAAAAACCGAGUAAAAGAGGAAUCUUCAGUUUCUAAAAGGAGUAGCAUAAAAAGCAGAGUAUAGAUUGAGAAAUGUAAGGGCACAAUGGAGAAGAGAUUUGUGUAAGCUGAAAGUCUGUACACUGUAUUAAAUACUUUUAAUUAAAAUCCCUUUCCAAUUUAAAUCAUUUAGAAAUAUCUGUAUUCUUAGGAAUGUUGAAGUCAUGAUCAAUACUAGAGAAAAAGGCUGAACUAUUACAUCCACCAGCCCCAAAGGGGUCCUGAUAGUACUAACAGUCUGGGCAGAAGGGCAUGUAAACAACAAAAGACAGCACAGACAAUGCCGGAAGAUUACAGGAUAAACUGAUUCCUAGCACUUAAUUCUUUCAAGGUCAAAUCAAUAUUUUCAGUGAUCUAAAACAAAUCUAAAAAAUGCUGACAUAUUUAUACUCCAGUAAAAGAGUAAACACUCAUUAUUCUUAAUAACCCAAACUCAGCUAGUCCUAAUAUAACCAUGCUAUUCCAUAAUGGGCAUUUGGUUUUAGGAGACAGAGACAUAGUUAAAUAAUGUAAAUGAUAUUCUCUCUUGGUGUCAGUUUAAAAAAAUCAAUUACUUGGGGGUCCCAUCUAGUAAGAUUGGUUCCGCAAAGUAACACACAUAAGGAAAACCAAGCUUUGGUGACAGUUUUUUUCCCUGGAUUUAAAAGCACUGUGUGGUACCCCACAAUCACAGGUUGGUGAUUCUCAGAUGUGCACUUGGAAAUCUAGUAAACUGUUUCUGUGAGCCAGAAGUACCAGAGUUUUAUCUGCUGCUCUAUGAAUAUGCUCUUCAGUGUGUACCGCUUUAAACUGAAAGGAUCAAUUCCAUUUUCUGAGAAGAUUCUCAAAUAAAAGUACAUACCAAUUUGAAGAGUGCUGACUACCUUUAUACAGUAAUAAAGUUAUCUGAUAGAUG